GAAUGAUGUAAUUGGAAAGCAUUUUUGGAUACUGCACGGCAGUCGUUUGAAGAAAAAACUGGAGAGAUGGGGGAUGGAAGCCUGGGAGUCACAUUUUUUCAAGCAAGACAUCACAGAGGGUGAGGCCCAGUGACAGAGAUGACAGAUAUUCAAAGAUGGAAUGAAAGAGGUUUGGUGACUGGAUAUAAGCAACGAAACAGGAAGAAUUGAAUUUGGGUCUGAUAUUUCCUGGAUGCAAGAUCAGGAGGAUGUUGGCACCAUGGCUUAGUGGGGAAACUGGGGACCGAUUCUGGAGGUAUACCAGCAUGGUGAGUUUGGUUUUAGAUGGGUUGUGUUUGACAUAGGGCUAGCAAUUCUAAGUGAAGAUGUCUAAAGAAAGAUAGAAGUGACUCAGCUCUGAAGUUCUGAAAUGAUCAGCCAUCAGCGUGGCAUGAGGAAGACCUAGGAACAGACAGACUGGGGAGAAGACACAGAGCCAAGCAGGACCUGGCCUGCAGCCCAAACCCUGUGGAAUCCCUACAUUCAAGGACCAGGUUGAAGUGAAGCCAUUGACAGGAACUGAGAUGCAGUAGUGUUCUGGAAGUCAAGUGAGGAGGAGGAUUGAAGAAGAGGGGGGUUGCCCAGUGGAAACACCAGACUGCAAAGCUUUGAGAAGUCUGUAUGAGAUGAACAACUGGAAAAGGUUCUUCGUGAAGAAUUUGUGUGGUGAAGAGCUGGAAUAGCGGCUUGAGGGAGAGAAGCCAGAUGGAGUCUCACUCUGUCGCCCAGGCUGGAGUACA
rnacentral:lncRNA from 1 species